AGAUACCAGCUGGCUGCAACUGUUUAUUAAAAACACAGCACUGUGCAAACACGAAAGUGGACGUAUACGGUGUGACGCCUGCCCGGUGCUGGAAGGUUAAUUGAUGGGGUUAUCCGUAAGGAGAAGCUCUUGAUCGAAGCCCCAGUAAACGGCGGCCGUAACUAUAACGGUCCUAAGGUAGCGAAAUUCCUUGUCGGGUAAGUUCCGACCUGCACGAAUGGCGUAAUGAUGGCCAGGCUGUCUCCACCCGAGACUCAGUGAAAUUGAACUCGCUGUGAAGAUGCAGUGUACCCGCGGCAAGACGGAAAGACCCCGUGAACCUUUACUAUAGCUUGACACUGAACAUUGAGCCUUGAUGUGUAGGAUAGGUGGGAGGCUUUGAAGUGUGGACGCCAGUCUGCAUGGAGCCAACCUUGAAAUACCACCCUUUAAUGUUUGAUGUUCUAACGUUGCCCCAUUAUCUGGGGUGCGGACAGUGUCUGGUGGGUAGUUUGACUGGGGCGGUCUCCUCCCAAAGAGUAACGGAGGAGCACGAAGGUUGGCUAAGCAUGGUCGGACAUCAUGCGGUUAGUGCAAAGG
rnacentral:rRNA from 1 species